AUUGAACGCUGGCGGCAGGCCUAACACAUGCAAGUCGAGCGGAUGACGGGAGCUUGCUCCUUGAUUCAGCGGCGGACGGGUGAGUAAUGCCUAGGAAUCUGCCUGGUAGUGGGGGACAACGUUUCGAAAGGAACGCUAAUACCGCAUACGUCCUACGGGAGAAAGUGGGGGAUCUUCGGACCUCACGCUAUCAGCUGAGCCUAGGUCGGAUUAGCUAGUUGGUGAGGUAAAGGCCCACCAAGGCGACGAUCCGUAACUGGUCGUGAGAGGAUGAUCAGUCACACUGGAACUGAGACACGGUCCAGACUCCUACGGGAGGCAGCAGUGGGGAAUAUUGGACAAUGGGCGAAAGCCUGAUCCAGCCAUGCCGCGUGUGUGAAGAAGGUCUUCGGAUUGUAAAGCACUUUAAGUUGGGAGGAAGGGCAGUAAGUUAAUACCUUGCUGUUUUGACGUUACCAACAGAAUAAGCACCGGCUAACUUCGUGCCAGCAGCCGCGGUAACAC
rnacentral:rRNA from 1 species